CCAGAUUAUGAAAAUAUACAGGACCUUCCAUAUCUUGAUAUGGUGAUAGCAGAGAUUCUACGCAUGUAUCCUCCAGCAUUCAGGUUUACCCGGGAAGCAGCAAAAGACUGCUUAGUGCUGCAGCAGCAAGUCCCAGCUGGCACUAUCAUGGAAAUUGCUGUUGGACAUCUCCAUUAUAAUCCAAAGUUCUGGCCAGAUCCUGAAAAGUUUAUUCCUGAGAGAUUUACACCUGAGGCUAUGCAGC